rnacentral:rRNA from 1 species
GGCUGCAACUCGCCCACGUGAAGGCGGAAUCCGUAGUAAUCGCAGCUCACUAUGCUGCGGUGAAUACGUCCCUGCCCCUUGUACUCACCGCCCAUCAUGCCACCCGAGCUGGCCCUCAGCGAGGCCCGGGCAAAACCCGGGUCGAGCUGGGGGCUGGCGAGGGGGGCAAAGUUGUCACAAGGUAGCCGUAGGGGAACCUGCGGCUGGAUCGCCCCC